UUUGACAAACGCUGUAUUAUUGUAAUAUAGAGGAAAGUCCAUGCUCACAAAAGCUGCGAUGCUUUUAGUGUUCGUGCUAAGGAAAAAAAUAACCUUAGGUGGUUUUAACCAACGGCAAUGAAAAAAUCUAAGUCUUUUGAUAUGGUUUGAGUAAUUAUAAAGUGCCAUAGUGACGAAGAAUUUGGAAACAAAGGAAAUGGAACGGGUAAACCCCACGAGUGAGAAACCCAAAUUUUGGUAGGGGAGCUUUGAGAAGGAAACUGAACUGACUCAAGGACCAGAAAUGGUAGAUAAAUGUUUGUCACCUAGAAAUAGGAACAGAACAUGGCUUAUAA
rnacentral:RNase_P_RNA from 1 species